rnacentral:lncRNA from 1 species
UCUAAAGAAAUUCUGAAUUUUUAUGUAGAACAUUGGACAUUGAAGAAAAAAUCCUUGUUUCGAUUAGUAACGCAGACUUUAAUGUUUAAUUUACAAUUAUUUUAAUUAAUGAUCCAUGUACGUUAUUAUGUAAUUAACUAUACUUAACGAUGUUUUUAGGUCUGUGAUGUUCUAUUUAUGUGAAGUUUGGGAUUAUCAGCGGAUGUAGUUGAGACAAUACGCAGGUUUUGCAUCAAGGUCUUUGCCCGCCUUAACUCUUAGUUGCCUGUUGUACAUAGACACCUUCGGACCUUUGACGCCUUAAUAUAUCCGUAUAAGGAUAUAUAAAAAUCAGGGAUAAGGCAAAUCUGAAAGGAAGAAAGCACAUAGUUUGUUCUUCAAGGUUUCAAGGAAUAUAUUCGCCUUCAUCAGGAUCAAUACAAGUGAUAGGAAGUUCGGACGGAGAUUACAGUCGUUAUGUGGAAUGAACAAGGGUUUGUGUUGUUCUAUGCAGUCAAGUAUGGGGUUACCAACGAUGUUAUUGAGAUAUUCCAGCGGUUUUUACAUCAAGAAGGUCUUUAGCCCUCCUUUCCUCAACUCCUAGUUGCAUGUUGUACACACCGACGGACUUAUUGAUGCUUUUAGGGAAUAUAUCCUUCAUCAAGACCUAUUGAUCUGAUAAGAAAACCAGACGAAGGUGACAAUGGAAGAACUUGUUCAUUCUUCAAAAAAUCAUAAUUAUGGUUGAAACAAUUGUUGCGUGUAUUGCUUUUGAUUACUGCUGUUACUUUCUUCUUUUAAAUAGUUCAACGGAGAAGACGAUUUGAAGUAAACAAAUGUGAACAAAGCAGCUUUCAAAUGUUCUGUGUAUUCUUCUUUCAAAAUCACUGUGCGAUAUCAAGACGAAUAAACAACUACCUGUACAAAGGAGAGUCUUUCAACCGUCGGUAGCAAUGAAGUUACAACCGAUUACAUUGACUAUAAGAUGAUGAAAAUAUGAAGUUGUAAACAAUCUAAGUAUAUGUAAUAAAAGGAAAAGCAUCAACAAAACAGAUCUGUAUUGUAUAUAUUGCUGAGUAUGAUCAAUGAUAUAGAUUCACUGGCAUUGAUUAUCCAUUGAAUUUGGAUUUAUAUCUUUACGAGUAACACCUGGAAUAUCUAUUUAUCGAAUGAAGACUGCUGAAAUCACAAGAAAAAAAACAAAAACGGUAUGAAAAAUAAACAUAAUGUAUUGAUUAACUAGGUGAGGACGCAUAACGUCAUGAGAAAGAACAUUGAAGUAUAAUGGUCUAUUGUGUACAAAGCAGGUUUUCUUUAAAUUAAAUUAAAUUUUUUAUUUUGCAUACACUGUUCGAUCGCGCUGUUAAUUUCUUUGUUACCUCCUCGUCUUUCCUUGUUUUUAUAGCCUUUGUAACCUUGCUAAUUUUGUAACCUUCAGUUCCGUUCAGCUAAAUAGUGAGGUAUGUACAUAAUGAAAGAAUUCUUAAUGUUUCUGACAAAAAGAUGGGUUCAUUUAUUACAAUAAAGAACGUUGUAGCUCUUUAGCAGGACUAGGGACGUGGCCAGAAAUCCAUUAGCAAUUAAAAUAUACGGCAUUAUAAACGGUGUGUUUAGAUAGUUUUGUUUUGU